rnacentral:lncRNA from 1 species
CGGGUGGUGACCGCGGGGUACUGGGCGUUUUGCAUAGUCCACUCGUUUUGCUCCGUUCUCCCUCGUCCGGACUCGGAUUUGGUCGCCGUUUGCGCUCACGGAUUCCUCUCGAGACGUACUUCAAUCUCAUAUCUUCAAAAUCCUCCAAUUAAUCAUUGAUGUUUCCUGAAAUUACUCCAAAACUACACCAAGAUAUCAAAUCUUCAUAAAACUAAAUAUUCGGGCACAAACAAGC